rnacentral:rRNA from 1 species
ACUCGAGUGGCGAACGGGUGAGUAACACGUGGGUGAUCUGCCCUGCACUUCGGGAUAAGCCUGGGAAACUGGGUCUAAUACCGGAUAGGAGCCAUUUUUAGUGUGAUGGUUGGAAAGUUUUUCGGUGUAGGAUGAGCUCGCGGCCUAUCAGCUUGUUGGUAGGGUAAUGGCCUACCAAGGCGGCGACGGGUAGCCGGCCUGAGAGGGUGGACGGCCACAUUGGGACUGAGAUACGGCCCAG